rnacentral:rRNA from 1 species
AUUGAACGCUGGCGGAAGGCCUAACACAUGCAAGUCGAACGAGUGGCGGACGGGUGAGUAAUGUCUGGGAAACUGCCCGAUGGAGGGGGAUAAAUACUGGAAACGGUAGCUAAUAACGCGUACCAUCGGAUGUGCGCAGAUGGGGUUAGAUUGUAGGUGAGGUAACGGAUCACCUAGGGGACGAUGCCUAGCUGGUCUGAGAGUAUGACCAGUCAGACUGGAAAUGAGACACGGUCCAUACUCCUAUGGGAGGCAGAUGUGGGGAAUAUUGCACAAUGGGCGUAAUCCUUAUGUAGCCAUGCAGCGUGUAUGAAGAAGGCCUUCGGGUUGUAAAGUACUUUCAGCGGGGCGGCGUUACCCGCAGAUGAAGCGCCGGCUAACUCAGUGCCAGCAGCCGCGGUUAUUC